UACGAAGGGGGCUAGCGUUGCUCGGAAUUACUGGGCGUAAAGCGUGCGUAGGUGGUUUGUUAAGUCUGUUGUGAAAGCCCCGGGCUCAACCUGGGAAUGGCAAUGGAUACUGGCAGGCUAGAGUACGGUAGGGGCAGAGGGAAUUUCCGGUGGAGCGGUGAAAUGCGUAGAGAUCGGAAAGAACACCAACGGCGAAAGCACUCUGCUGGGCCGACACUGACACUGAGAGACGAAAGCUAGGGGAGCGAAUGGG
rnacentral:rRNA from 1 species